CAGCCGCCGCGGGAAAACGAAGGGGGCUAGCGUUGUUCGGAAUUACUGAGCGUAAAGGGCGCGUAGGCGGCCAUUCAAGUUAGAUGUGAAAGCCCUGGGCUCAACCUAGGAAUUGCAUUUGAUACUGUUUGGCUUGAGUUCGGGAGAGGUGAGUGGAAUUCCCAGUGUAGAGGUGAAAUUCGUAGAUAUUGGGAGGAACACCAGUGGCGAAGGCGGCUCACUGGACCGACACUGACGCUGAGGCGCGAAAGCGUGGGAAGCAAACAGGAUUAGAUACCCGGGUAGUCCCUGUCUCUUAUAC
rnacentral:rRNA from 1 species